GAUGAACGCUGGCGGCGUGCCUAAUACAUGCAAGUCGAGCGAACGGACGAGAAGCUUGCUUCUCUGAUGUUAGCGGCGGACGGGUGAGUAACACGUGGAUAACCUACCUAUAAGACUGGGAUAACUUCGGGAAACCGGAGCUAAUACCGGAUAAUAUUUUGAACCGCAUGGUUCAAAAGUGAAAGACGGUCUUGCUGUCACUUAUAGAUGGAUCCGCGCUGCAUUAGCUAGUUGGUAAGGUAACGGCUUACCAAGGCAACGAUGCAUAGCCGACCUGAGAGGGAGGGCAGGCAGCAGGAGCCGGUGAACAGUCACGGACCCCAACGGGGGGCAGCAGCUGGGAAUUUCCGGAAAGGGGCAAAGGCUUGAAGGACCAACGCCGCGGGAGUGAUGAAGUGUUUCGGUUCUAAAAACUUUUUUAUAGGGAAAAAAAAUUGAGGUAAGUAACUAUGCCCAUCGUGCGGGUACAUAAACAGAAGACCGCGCCAAAUUCCGUC
rnacentral:rRNA from 1 species